ensembl:miRNA
UCACUCAGAAUUAAAAAACAAUAAAUGUGGUCUGUCAAGGUGACAUUGUUUUUUAUUCUGAGUGACA